AGUGAACGCUGGCGGUAGGCCUAACACAUGCAAGUCGAACGGCAGCACAGAGGAGCUUGCUCCUUGGGUGGCGAGUGGCGGACGGGUGAGGAAUACAUCGGAAUCUACUCUGUCAUGGGGGAUAACGUAGGGAAACUUACGCUAAGACCGCAUACGACCUACGGGUGAAAGCAGGGGACAUUCGGGCAUCGCGCGAUUGAAUGAGCCGAUGUCGGAUUAGCAAGUUGGCGGGGUAAGGGCCCACCAAGGCGACGAUCCGUAGCUGGUCUGAGAGGAUGAUCAGCCACACUGGAACUGAGACACGGUCCAGACUCCUACGGGAGGCAGCAGUGGGGAAUAUUGGACAAUGGGCGCAAGCCUGAUCCAGCCAUACCGCGUGGGUGAAGAAGGCCUUCGGGUUGUAAAGCCCUUUUGUUGGGAAAGAAAUCCAGCUGGCUAAUACCCGGUUGGGAUGACGGUACCCAAAGAAUAAGCACCGGCUAACUUCGUGCCAGCAGCCGCAGUAA
rnacentral:rRNA from 1 species